GUGCCAGCAGCCGCGGUAAUACGGAGGGGGCGAGCGUUAUUCGGAAUUAUUGGGCGUAAAGGGCGCGUAGGCGGCUCUAUAAGUCAAAGGUGAAAUCCCUCGGCUCAACUGAGGAACUGCCUUUGAAACUGUUGAGCUUGAGGCCGGGAGAGGGUAGUGGAAUUCCCAGUGUAGCGGUGAAAUGCGUAGAUACUGGGAGGAACGCCAGUGGCGAAGGCGGCUACCUGGACCGGUACUGACGCUGAGGCGCGAAAGCGUGGGUAGCAAACAGGAUUAGAAACCCGGGUAGUCC
rnacentral:rRNA from 1 species